UGCAGUGUGGCUCAGUGGAAAGAGCACGGGCUUUGGAGUCAGAGGUCAUGGGUUCGAAUCCCAGCUCGGCCA
rnacentral:tRNA from 1 species